UGAGUAACACGUAUCCAACCUGCCGUCUACUCUUGGACAGCCUUCUGAAAGGAAGAUUAAUACAAGAUGGCAUCAUGAGUCCGCAUGUUCACAUGAUUAAAGGUAUUCCGGUAGACGAUGGGGAUGCGUUCCAUUAGAUAGUAGGCGGGGUAACGGCCCACCUAGUCUUCGAUGGAUAGGGGUUCUGAGAGGGAGGUCCCCCACAUUGGAACUGAGACACGGUCCAA
rnacentral:rRNA from 1 species